rnacentral:rRNA from 1 species
GGCUACCGCUAUUGGAGUUCGAUUAAGCCAUGCGAGUCUAGAGGCCUAGCCUCGGCGUACCGCUCAGUAACACGUGGGUAACCUACCCUAUGCUGGGGAAUAAGCUCGGGAAACUGAGAAUAAUGCCCCAUAGUCCACUACGCCUGGAACGGUGAGUGAAUUAAAGCUCCGGCGGCAUAGGAUGGGCCUGCGGCGUAUCAGGUUGUAGGGGGUGUAAUGUACCCUCUAGCCAUCCACGCGUACGGGUGUUGGGAGACAUUGCCCGGAGAUGGAUUCUGAGACACGAAUCCAGACCCUACGGGGUGCAGCAGGCGCGAAAACUUGGCAAUGCGAGAAAUCGUGACCAGGGAACUCCAAGUGGCAGGGGUAAGACCCUGUCUUUUUCCGACUCUAAAUAGGUCGGCGAAUAAGGGGUGGGUAAGGACGGUGCCAGCCGCCGCGGUAAUACCGGCGCCUCAAGUGGUAGUCGCUUUUAUUGGGCCUAAAACGUCCGUAGCCGGUCUGGUACAUUCGUGGGUAAAUCAACUCGCUCAACGAGUUGAAUUCUGCGAGGACGGCCAGACUUGGGACCGGGAGAGGUGUGGGGUACUCUCAGGGUAGGGGUAAAAUCCUGUCAUCCUGAGAGGACCACCUGUUGCGAAGGCUCCACACUAGAACGGAUCCGACGGUCAGGGACGAAGCCUAGGGGCACGAACCGGAUUAGAUACCCGGGUAGUCCUAGGUGUAAACGCUGUGGACCUGAUGUUGGGGACGCUCCGAGCGUUCUCAGUGUCGAAGCGAAGGUGAUAAGUCCACUGCCUGGGGAGUACGGUCGCAAGGCUGAAACUUAAAGGAAUUGGCGGGGGAGCACCGCAACCUGAGGAUUGUGCG